ensembl:lncRNA
UGUGCCAGGAAACGUGCUAAUUGCCAGGUGUGACACGUUAACCUCCUCUGGAGGAAGUGCGUGAGAAGCAGUUCAGCUGCUGGCUGAAGUGAAGUCACAGCCCUAGUAUGUGUAGGUGCUGUAUUACCAUUUGCAGAAGAAAGGAACCUGAUGCAAUCUUCAAGGUGCAGCAUGGCAAAGCUUUGUGAGAUGCUUUUUUCUGUGCUUUGCUUAAAAUGGUGGAAAACAAGUACUUCUUCAAGAAACAUUGGUGAUGCUUCUUACUGGAAUUGCUGAUGGAGUUAAGGCCUCAUCUUGCAAUAAAUGCUAUACAAAAUCCAUCAAGUGAAGCACAAGUAUAGCUUUGCUAUGCUAUUACAGAGCAAGUACUUUCAAAAGCAUCCAUUGGAGGACACUAGCACCCAACAAAUUACAGAUCAACGCAUACAAUGUUAUCUAAUGACUAUAAAUAGUCUUUUAUGGUUGAGCAGAGCAAGGAACUCACAAGAAGAUCCUCCAAGGGUAGCAGGUGCUGCUUGUGUGAGGGUUGCUGAUUGUGCAUUGCUCAGUGUUCUCAUCUGUUAUGAACAUUUGUCACCUGCUGCUAUGAUCUCCAUCUUCCAGGUGAAGAAAACAGUCUCUUAAUGCUUAUUGCACCUGGCAUUGUGAAUAAUAAAUGUUUAGAAUACUGAGAAUGGAGCCAAGAAAGUCACACGUGAUAUCGAGAAAAGAACUGUGUCCUUAUCAGAAUUUUUUGUAUGCUGACUUUGAAAGCUCAUCAACACUGUCAAACUUACAAAGAUACUGAAAUAAAAAUAGAGUGUUUGCUCCUUAUAAAAUGCCAUAAUUAAGGUCUUCACACCUUUUGAAAGUUUUAACUGUGGUUAUUGCUGUCAGUGAUGAACAGCUGUUCAAUUAGCAUCAACUACAGGCAGUUCUUAAAGCUAUCUGACACCUAAAUUUUGUGCAGUAACUUUUCAGCCAAAGUGUCUGCUAAUGGGUGUUAUAGAGAUACACUCAGGGAUGUAUAUAUCCAUAAUGAGUGCAGUAGAGCUUAACUAGUAAGAUCUCUGUCAGUUGGAUUCUAUCCAUAAAAAGAGAUGUAGUACAAUUAUUAUGUCCUAAGACUUCCAGACAAUGGAUUAUGAAGGUGCUUUUAACAUUUUUGAAGUGAUAUCUGUUGUUGGACAUUAAUUCUCUGAAGAUUACUGGCAAAUGCAUUGCAUUUAUGGAGGUACUCAACAGUAUGGAUGGCACAGGUGAAAUGACUCUUUCAUUCUAAUUUGUCUUUGUGCAUGGUUUAUAAUAUCCCUCCAAAUUACUUCUGGGUGUGCAAUUUUUCAUGCUAGUUCUUUUCUCAGAAGUGCAUUUUUUCAAAG